rnacentral:tRNA from 1 species
UGGGUAGAUGCUCGCUGGCUGGAGCGCUUAGCUGUUAACUAAGAGAUUAUAGGAUCGAGGCCUAUCUACCCAG